rnacentral:rRNA from 1 species
UACGUAGGGCGCAAGCGUUGUCCGGAAUUAUUGGGCGUAAAGAGCUCGUAGGCGGUUUGUCACGUCGGGUGUGAAAGCCCGGGGCUUAACCCCGGGUCUGCAUUCGAUACGGGCAGACUAGAGUGUGGUAGGGGAGAUCGGAAUUCCUGGUGUAGCGGUGAAAUGCGCAGAUAUCAGGAGGAACACCGGUGGCGAAGGCGGAUCUCUGGGCCAUUACUGACGCUGAGGAGCGAAAGCGUGGGGAGCGAACAGG